UGCAAAUGUUAGAAUAAAUCCAAAUUUGGUACUCACAUGUAUGUGAGCACUAUUUGUUGCUUUUAUUAUUUUUUGGUUUUGUAUAUAUCCGGCUACUACAAUAUCUGUGCAGUGUACCUUCCAUUGAUACCCUAGUAGUGGGGGACUAUAACUACUAUAUGCACAUUAUACAAGAGCUAGUCUGAGCUCUAAUACAUUUGAGUACCAAAUUUGGAUUUCUUCUAAGAUUUGCACUACAUAUUCUGGACAUAGUGCACUAUUGGAGUUUUAUUCUUUCUUGUUACAU